GGGUUGUGAGGUUAAGCGAAUAAGCGUACACGGUGGAUGCCUAGGCAAUCAGAGGCGAUGAAGGACGUGCUAAUCUGCGAAAAGCGUCGGUAAGGUGAUAUGAACCGUUAUACCCGACGAUAUCCGAAUGGGGAAACCCAGUAUCCAAUGGAUACUAUCAUUAACUGAAUCCAUAGGUUAAUGAGGCGAACCGGGAGAACUGAAACAUCUCAGUACCCCGAGGAAAAGAAAUCAACCGAGAUUCCCCUAGUAGCGGCGAGCGAACGGGGAGCAGCCCAGAGUCUUAAUCAAUAGCAGUGUCAGGAGAACGGUCUGGAAAGUCCGGCAGUAAAGGGUGAUAGCCCCGUAUCUGAAGAUGCUGUUGUUGUGAACUCGACGAGUAGGGCGGGACACGUGUUAUCCUGUCUGAAUAUGGGGGGACCAUCCUCCAAGGCUAAAUACUCCUGAUUGACCGAUAGUGAACCAGUACCGUGAGGGAAAGGCGAAAAGAACCCCGGCGAGGGGAGUGAAAAAGAACCUGAAACCGUGUACGUACAAGCAGUAGGAGCCUCUUUAUGGGGUGACUGCGUACCUUUUGUAUAAUGGGUCAGCGACUUAUAUUCUGUAGCAAGGUUAACCGUAUAGGGGAGCCGUAGGGAAACCGAGUCUUAACUGGGCGAAUGAGUUGCAGGGUAUAGACCCGAAACCCGGUGAUCUAUCCAUGGGCAGGUUGAAGGUUGGGUAACACUAACUGGAGGACCGAACCGACUAAUGUUGAAAAAUUAGCGGAUGACUUGUGGAUGGGGGUGAAAGGCCAAUCAAACCGGGAGAUAGCUGGUUCUCCCCGAAAGCUAUUUAGGUAGCGCCUCGUGAACUCAUCUUCGGGGGUAGAGCACUGUUUCGACUAGGGGGUCAUCCCGACUUACCAACUCGAUGCAAACUGCGAAUACCGAAGAAUGUUAUCACGGGAGACACACGGCGGGUGCUAACGUCCGUCGUGAAGAGGGAAACAACCCAGACCGCCAGCUAAGGUCCCAAAGUCAUGGUUAAGUGGGAAACGAAGUGGGAAGGCUCAGACAGCCAGGAUGUUGGCUUAGAAGCAGCCAUCAUUUAAAGAAAGCGUAAUAGCUCACUGGUCGAGUCGGCCCGCGCGGAAGAUGUAACGGGGCUAAACCAUGCACCGAAGCUGCGGCAGCGACACAAAGUGUUGUUGGGUAGGGGAGCGUUCUGUAAGCCUGCGAAGGUGUACUGUGAGGUAUGCUGGAGGUAUCAGAAGUGCGAAUGCUGACAUAAGUAACGAUAAUGCGGGUGAAAAACCCGCACGCCGGAAGACCAAGGGUUCCUGUCCAACGUUAAUCGGGGCAGGGUGAGUCGACCCCUAAGGCGAGGCUGAAAAGCGUAGUCGAUGGGAAACGGGUUAAUAUUCCCGUACUGGUGGUAACUGCGAUGGGGGAACGGAGAAGGCUAGGUUGUCCGGGCGACGGUCGUCCCGGUUCAAGCAGGUAGGCAGAGUGAUUAGGCAAAUCCGGUCACUUAAUGCUGAGAUGUGAUGACGAACCACCAAGGUGGUGAAGCAAUUGAUGCCCCGCUUCCAGGAAAAGCCUCUAAGCUUCAGGUUACCAACAAUCGUACCCCAAACCGACACAGGUGGUCAGGUAGAGAAUACUCAGGCGCUUGAGAGAACUCGGGUGAAGGAACUAGGCAAAAUGGUGCCGUAACUUCGGGAGAAGGCACGCUGGCGGUAGGUAAAGUCCCUUGCGGACGGCGCUGAAGCCAGUCGAAGAUACCAGCUGGCUGCAACUGUUUAUUAAAAACACAGCACUGUGCAAACACGAAAGUGGACGUAUACGGUGUGACGCCUGCCCGGUGCUGGAAGGUUAAUUGAUGGGGUUAGCGUAAGCGAAGCUCCUGAUCGAAGCCCCAGUAAACGGCGGCCGUAACUAUAACGGUCCUAAGGUAGCGAAAUUCCUUGUCGGGUAAGUUCCGACCUGCACGAAUGGCGUAAUGAUGGCCAGGCUGUCUCCACCCGAGACUCAGUGAAAUUGAACUCGCUGUGAAGAUGCAGUGUACCCGCGGCAAGACGGAAAGACCCCGUGAACCUUUACUAUAGCUUGACACUGAACAUUGAGCCUUGAUGUGUAGGAUAGGUGGGAGGCUUUGAAGUGUGGACGCCAGUCUGCAUGGAGCCAACCUUGAAAUACCACCCUUUAACGUUUGAUGUUCUAACCUAGGCCCAUAAACUGGGUCGGGGACCGUGUCUGGUGGGUAGUUUGACUGGGGCGGUCUCCUCCUAAAGAGUAACGGAGGAGCACGAAGGUUGGCUAAGCAUGGUCGGACAUCAUGCGGUUAGUGCAAAGGCAUAAGCCAGCUUGACUGCGAGAGUGACGGCUCGAGCAGGUACGAAAGUAGGUCUUAGUGAUCCGGUGGUUCUGAAUGGAAGGGCCAUCGCUCAACGGAUAAAAGGUACUCCGGGGAUAACAGGCUGAUACCGCCCAAGAGUUCAUAUCGACGGCGGUGUUUGGCACCUCGAUGUCGGCUCAUCACAUCCUGGGGCUGAAGUAGGUCCCAAGGGUAUGGCUGUUCGCCAUUUAAAGUGGUACGCGAGCUGGGUUUAGAACGUCGUGAGACAGUUCGGUCCCUAUCUGCCGUGGGCGUUGGAAGAUUGAGAGGGGUUGCUCCUAGUACGAGAGGACCGGAGUGAACGCACCACUGGUGUUCGGGUUGUCAUGCCAAUGGCAUUGCCCGGUAGCUAAGUGCGGAAGAGAUAACCGCUGAAAGCAUCUAAGCGGGAAACUUGCCUCGAGAUGAGUCUUCCCUGUCGCUUUAAGCGACCUAAAGGAACGUUUAAGACUAAGACGUUGAUAGGCUGGGUGUGUAAGCGUAGCGAUACGUUGAGCUAACCAGUACUAAUGAACCGUGAGGCUUAACCUGACAACACCGAAAGUGUUUUG
rnacentral:rRNA from 1 species